AUUUAUUACAGGAUUAUGAAAAAAAAUUUUUGGCACUGAUACAUAAAUAAUUUAUUUCAGUACCUGAGUAUCCCAAUGCUAUGAUAGUGGAUUAAGCCAUUUUUUCCAAUUUUAAAAACAUAUCCAUUUCAAAUGUACUCAACGUAUCAAUUGCGGUGUGCCAUAAAUUUUUGCCGUUUUACCUACAAUUUUCUUCCUGGUUAAUCAUAAUUUUUUCGAAAACCUCUUGGAAAAUGAAAAAAUGAUCUAUUUAAUGCACCAAUAGGACACAAUUUUCUUUCAAAAAAGGGACUAUACUUUAUACAUCGAGGCAAGAUUUCUUUUCAAAAAUAUGUUUACAGACAGAAAAAAUGUAAUUGGAUGUAUAUCUGUAUGCAACGAUUAACAAUUGCUAAAAAAAACGAUUCUAAG